GCAGACAACGUGCACCUCAAUACAAUACAACAUGUAUCUCAAGGUACAAUGCAGACAACAUGUAUCUCAAGGUACAAUGCAGACAACAUUUAUCUCAAGGUACAAUGCAGACAACGUGCACCUCAAUACAAUACAACAUGUAUCUCAAGGUACAAUGCAGACAAC